rnacentral:rRNA from 1 species
UACGAAGGGUGCAAACGUUGCUCGGAAUUAUUGGGCGUAAAGCGCACGUAGGCGGCUUUGUAAGUUGGAUGUGAAAGCCCUCGGCUCAACCAAGGAAGUGCAUCCAAAACUACAAAGCUUGAGUACUUAAGAGGAUCGCGGAAUUCCCGGUGUAGAGGUGAAAUUCGUAGAUAUCAAGCGGAACACCGGUGGCGAAAGGCGGCCUUCUGGACAGUGGACUGACGCUGAGACGCGAAAGCGUGGGGAGCAAACAGG